GACGAACGCUGGCGGCGUGCUUAACACAUGCAAGUCGAACGAUGAAGCUGGUGCUUGCACUGGUGGAUUAGUGGCGAACGGGUGAGUAACACGUGAGUAACCUGCCUUUCACUUUGGGAUAAGCCUUGGAAACGGGGUCUAAUACCGGGUAUGGACAUGUCAUCGCAUGGUGGUGUGUUGAAAGCUUUUGUGGUGGGAGAUGGACUCGCGGCCUAUCAGCUUGAUGGUGGGGUAGUGGCCUACCAUGGCUUUGACGGGUAGCCGGCCUGAGAGGGUGACCGGCCACACUGGGACUGAGACACGGCCCAGACUCCUACGGGAGGCAGCAGUGGGGAAUAUUGCACAAUGGGCGGAAGCCUGAUGCAGCGACGCCGCGUGGAGGAUGAAGGCUUUCGGGUUGUAAACUCCUUUCGCACAUGACGAAGCCUUUGGUGACGGUAGUGUGAGAAGAAGCACCGGCUAACUACGUGCCAGCAGCCGCCGUAA
rnacentral:rRNA from 1 species